UCUACAGAAGUCAGAAGAAGGUAUAGAAUUCCCUGGAGCUGAGCCACCACUGGAGGAUGUGAGCCACCCACCAUGCCUGGGAACCUCCCUCAGGUCCACGGAAGAGCAGCAAGUACUUUUACUGUUGAGCCAUCUCUUCAGCCCCAAUUUCCUAAGCUCCACCUAAUAUUGGGCUGUGAAUCUGCACCUAUUUUCAUCAGUUGAUUGAUGAAGCCACCCUCCCAACUGGAUGACAAUUGGACUGGGCACCAAUCUAGGAGUACGGUAGGAUAUCAUUAGAAAGACUCGUCAUGACUGUAAUCAAUAUCAUAUGGUGAAGUGAGCAAGAGAUCAAACUCCUGGAUGAUGUUUGGCUAGAACACGUGGCAAGGGCUCUUCUUGGAAAGUGGCAUAAGAUAAGUAUAGCUACCACCCCUCACAAAGAAGCCUCUCAUUACAAGUGGGUUAACAUCACAGAAAAACACAGCUGUACACAAUGUAGAGAUCAGCACAUCUUGGGGAUACCAGCUUCAGUGGAUAGGUCUGCAUCACAGCUCCUACAUUUAUGGCUCAAAGAAUAUCAAGGGAAAGAGGGGCCAGAAGAAUGUAAGAGCCAGUAUAUAAGGAAGUCUGUGGUGAACUAAAACAAAACCAGAAGAAUGGUAAUAUAUACGGACACAUUAACUGAAGAGGGAACAUUUCACAGGGUCCACCCCCAGAUAAAGAACUACAGUCAACUAAUGACUGCUAGAAGGAAGAGAAUCCAUCUCUCCCAGGAUGAGCCUCCUAUUGGUUGUUCAAUAUAGAGUGUUUAACCCUGAAACAAUAUACACACAAACAGCAGAAGAAGACUCAGCAGGUUGUAUUUGCACAUUUGCAUACACACGUCUGUAAAAAAUAAUGAAAAACAAAGAAUCUACGAAUUUGAGUGAGGAAGAACAUGGGAGGAGUUGGC